rnacentral:rRNA from 1 species
UACGAAGGGGGCUAGCGUUGUUCGGAAUUACUGGGCGUAAAGCGCGCGCAGGCGGCUAUCCAAGUCAGUGGUGAAAGCCCGGAGCUCAACUCCGGAACUGCCAUUGAAACUGUUUAGCUUGAGGAUGAGAGAGGUGAGUGGAAUUCCCAGUGUAGAGGUGAAAUUCGUAGAUAUUCGGAAGAACACCAGUGGCGAAGGCGACUCACUGGACACAUAUUGACGCUGAGGUGCGAAAGCGUGGGGAGCAAACAGG